UACGAGAGGUCCAAACGUUAUUCGGAAUCACUGGGCUUACAGAGUUCGUAGGCGGCUCUACAAGUGAGGUGUGAAAGCCCUCGGCUCAACCGAGGAACUGCGCUUCAAACUGUAAAGCUAGAGGGAGAUAGAGGUGAGCGGAACUGAUGGUGUAGCGGUGAAAUGCGCAGAUAUCAGGAGGAACACCGAUGGCGAAGGCAGGUCUCUGGGCCACUACUGACGCUGAGAAGCGAAAGCAUGGGGAGCGAAUAGG
rnacentral:rRNA from 1 species